GAAUGUCUUUUAGUUUUAUGGAGUAUUACGGCAAAAAAUAAAUAAAAAAUGGGUGUGACUGGAUUGAUUUAUUGAUCUGUCAAAAAAUGUGCUUGAUUUUAGAAACAACCCCAGUUCCCACCUCUGAAGUGACCAGCCUAACCAGCAGCAAAAUAGAUGAAGCAUCACCAUCGGAGGAUACCAGUAAAAAACAGGGACCAGCUGAUGAUGAUCUCAAACAGACCAGUUCAAUCUGGGGAUACGUGAUUCUGUCUUUUAUCAUCGUGAUCAUCAUUGUUUUGAGUCUUAUCCUCUAUUUUAUCAGAAGAGCAUCCAGGUCUUACUCAUUUGAUCGUCCAACUCCUAUGAACAACGGAAAUGAGCCUAUUGGGACCUUUGAACAGGUCUACCUCGACGACUUUGGGGCGUCCAGAAGCUCACCGUACUGGGAGAGUCUCUGAAUGAUCUCAUGAACCCAAACAUGGAGACGUGAUUAUUUAUAUUUAUA
rnacentral:lncRNA from 1 species